UACGUAGGUGGCAAGCGUUGUCCGGAAUUAUUGGGCGUAAAGCGCGCGCAGGCGGUCCUUUAAGUCUGAUGUGAAAGCCCACGGCUCAACCGUGGAGGGUCAUUGGAAACUGGGGGACUUGGGUACAGAAGAGAAGAGUGGAAUUCCACGUGUAGCGGUGAAAUGCGUAGAGAUGUGGAGGAACACCAGUGGCGAAGGCGACUCCUUGGUCUGUAACUGACGCUGAGGCGCGAAAGCGUGGGGAGCAAACAGG
rnacentral:rRNA from 1 species